rnacentral:rRNA from 1 species
CGGAGGAUCCGAGCGUUAUCCGGAAUAACUGGGCGUAAAGAGUUGCGUAGGUGGUUUAUUAAGCGAAUAGUGAGAUCUCAGGGCUCAACCUUGAGGCUAUUAUUCGAACUGAUAAACUUGAGAAUAUGAGAGGUAAGUGGAAUUCCCAGUGUAGGAGUGAAAUCCGUAGAUAUUGGGAGGAACACCAAUGGCGUAGGCAGCUUACUGGCAUAUUUCUGACACUGAGGCACGAAAGCGUGGGGAGCGAACCGGAUUAGAUACCCGGGUAGUCCACGCCGUAAACUAUGGAUGCUAGCUGUUGGACGUAUCGACCCGUUCAGUAGCGAAGCUAACGCGUUAAGCAUCCCGCCUGGGGAGUACGGUCGCAAGAUUA